GGGAGGAUUUUGAUGAACUGAUACGCCAGCAC
rnacentral:scRNA from 1 species